CACGUAGGGGGCGAGCGUUGUCCGGAUUUAUUGGGCGUAAAGAGCUCGUAGGCGGCUCAGUAAGUCAGGUGUGAAAACUCCAGGCUCAACCUGGAGACGCCACUUGAUACUGCUGUGGCUAGAGUCCGGUAGGGGAGCAUGGAAUUCCUGGUGUAGCGGUGAAAUGCGCAGAUAUCGAGAGGAACACCUGCGGCGAAGGCGGGUUGCUGGGCCGACACUGACGCUGAUGCGCGAAAGCCAGGGGAGCGAACGGG
rnacentral:rRNA from 1 species